rnacentral:rRNA from 1 species
GACGAACGCUGGCGGCGUGCCUAAUACAUGCAAGUAGAACGCACAGUUUAUACCGUAGCUUGCUACACCAUAGACUGUGAGUUGCGAACGGGUGAGUAACGCGUAGGUAACCUGCCUGGUAGCGGGGGAUAACUAUUGGAAACGAUAGCUAAUACCGCAUAAUAUUAAUUAUUGCAUGAUAAUUAAUUCAAAGGUGCAAUUGCACCACUACCAGAUGGUCCUGCGUUGUAUUAGCUAGUAGGUGAGGUAACGGCUCACCUAUGCGACGAUACAUAGCCGACCUGAGAGGGUGAUCGGCCACACUGGGACUGAGACACGGCCCAGACUCCUACGGGAGGCAGCAGUAGGGAAUCUUCGGCAAUGGACGAAAGUCUGACCGAGCAACGCCGCGUGAGUGAAGAAGGUUUUCGGAUCGGAAAGCUCUGUUGUAAGAGAAGAAAGGGUGUGAGAGUGGAAAGUUCACACUGUGACGGUAUCUUACCAGAAAGGGACGGCUAACUACGUG